UUCUGGUUGAUCCUGCCGGACCUGACUGCUAUCGGAUUGAUACUAAGCCAUGCGAGUCUUUGCAGUAAUGCAAGGCGGACUGCUCAGUAACACGUAGUCAACUUAACCUAUGGAUGGGUAUAACCUCGGGAAACUGAGAAUAAUUCCCAAUAGAUCAUUUAUCCUGGAAUGGUUAGUGAUUGAAAUGAUUCGUCGCCAUAGGAUAGGACUGCGGCCUAUCAGCUUGUUGGUGAGGUAAAGGCCCACCAAGGCUAUUACAGGUACGGGCUCUGAGAGGAGAAGCCCGGAGAUGGGUACUGAGACACGGACCCAGGCCCUAUGGGGCGCAGCAGGCGAGAAAACUUUGCAAUGUGCGAAAGCACGACAAGGUUAAUCCGAGUGAUUUCUGCUAAAGAAAUCUUUUGCCAGUUCUAAAAAUACUGGUGAAUAAGGGGUGGGCAAGUUCUGGUGCCAGCAGCCGCGGUAAU
rnacentral:rRNA from 1 species